UAUUAAGGAAAGGGAAAGGGAAUGGAAAUACCCCAUUCCCUUUGAUGUUGUUUGGUUCGCAGUUAGAAUCAUUCCCUUUCCCCAUAUUAAGGUUUUGGAUUACCUAAAAUGAGGUAAUCCUCAUUCCCUCCCUCCCCCUCCACUUUCCCAUUCCAUUCCCUUCCCCACAGCUGCUGCCUUCCCUUUCUCACUCGCGCCUCCUUCCUCACCAUAUUUCUCCUUCCUCGCGCCUCCAUCCUUCCUGAACUGCGACGGCUGGGUUGAUUUGGCCGGUGCUGGCGGCGGCUGCUCGGUUGAGGCUACGACGAUGAGACAAGGAACAUAUAAAGAGAUUUGAAACUUGAAAUAAAAACAAAACUUGAAUUGAAGGUGGGUUGAUUUGGUGGUGGGCCGUCGGCGUUGAUGGGUCUGGUGGUCUUGAUUUCACGUUCACCUGUUCACGGAAGCAGCAGUAGCAGCCAGCAGUGGCUUUGCGAAGUGCGAAUAGGCGAACAACGAACUGAUUCGCUCAGUGAACAUCAGUGAGGGGUGGCGACUGAUUUCACGUUCACCUGUUCACGCCUCGUUCAUCUUCCUCAACUUCUCUUCUCUUCUUCUCAAUCUCGAUUUUGCUGCCUCCAUUCUUCUUCGUGUUCUUGUUGAAUCUGUGUUGUACCACCAUUGAUGAAAGCCUGCGUUUUUGAUUCUUGUUGUAAUUUCGUUUCUGUUGCGUUUUUGAUUUUUGAUGAAUUGGAUUUGUAGGAUGAAUUGGAUUUCUGGGUUGUUCUACAUAGAUUUCUGUACCGCCAUUGAUGAACAUCGUUUUGUUGUUCGAGUGAAUUGAAGUUCUUCGCCAUUGUUUUGUUCCUUUUCUGGGUUGUUCCUAAUCUCUGUUGAAAGGGAAUCAAUUAAUCCAACUUGAACCAAACAGUCACAAAGGGAUUGAUUCCGUUUCCUGAACACAACCAAACGACUAGGCUAAAUUAGGGGAAUCCAUUCCUUUCUCCUUCAUUCCCUUUCCUCAUUCCAUUCCGAUUCCCUUGUGCGAACCAAACGCCCCCUCAGUACUCACACUAAACUUCCCAUCUUCUCCACUUCUAUUCUAAUUUCAAUAAUGGAAUUUUGAAAGACCCUUCACUCGAUUUCAAUUGGUAAGGAUUUCAACUGCCAAAAUUUUGGAAUUUUGAAAGCGCCUCCAUUGUUGCAGACCAUUACCUUCGGUUUUUGUUUCACUUGAGAAAGUGUUAAGGGCCUUCAUAUCUUUUUAGGUAGCAUUUGCAGGGAAAGAGUUUUCCUUCUUAGAUGAAAUUGAAAGGUUGAAACAAGAAAUGACUGAAAAAGACAAGAAGGUCAAAAAGAAGAACCAGUUAAAGCAAGAGUUGAUGGUCGAGAUAGCAAGAUGGAUGCAUGGUUCAUCCUAAAUUGCAUUUUGCAGGAUUUAGUUCAAGUUCUGAUCCAGGCCACAACAAUUACUAUUUAUUGAGAACUUAGCUGCUUUUUAUAUCUUUAUUGAUGACUUGAUGAUGAUGUAUUUUUUUCAUUUUGACCAAACAAUAUUUCUUAUCAGAUGUAAUAUUUUACUUUUGUUUUAAACAGUUUCAGUUUUUAUGAUUUUAAGUUUUUAACAGUUCAGCAUUUUUGAGACUUCCGCAAUAUUUUUGUAUUAACAUUAUUAUUAAAUGUUAAUUAUGUAUCGAGAUUGCCGCCCCUGCUACACUAUUCCUUAACUUCCUUACUCAAGCCUGGAGGUUCAUGAAGGAAUAAUAACUCAUCCUAAAUCUGCUGGCUGGACACAUGGUUUUAAGGGUCAAAGAUAAGUUUGGGGCAAGAGUAGUCCUAGCCAGGCAAAGGCUAGGUUUCCAAGGAGCUGUUCUAGGCUCCAAACAAAAAUGUAGAGGCCAUACCCAUGCCUUAGCAAAACCAAUCCCUGAGCAAGAGGCCUUAGAGAACUUUAAGGAGAGUUAUACUUGAAGAAUCUGCUGCAUCCAAGGGGCAAAGGAUUAGAGUUCACCAAAUACUAAGACCUAAAGGGUCUGAUGUCAGAGAUAAGCUGGGUUCUAGGAAGGCUGCCCCUUGGGAAGAGAAGUAAUACCCUGAACACCCUUUCAGGAUGCCACACCCUUCUCAAGCACCCCUAACCUGAAAGGUGUGAAAGAAAUGAAGGAGAAAGGAGAAUAGCCAUGGACCAGGGGACGUCUCAGAAUCACCUUAAGUGAGGCUGAAUCUCUUAGAAGUAAGGAGCAAUACGAGGAGCAGUUUGAAGUAAGAGAGUAGGAAGAAGAAAGAGGCCAUGAAGAAGGAAGAAAAGAAGACUAAGGGGGCAAGAGACGCCACCUAGAGAGGAGAAUAACAAGAAGGGAUGUGGGACAAGAAACACUUGUCUCAUCCCUAACACAGAAGAUUAGGAUGCCUAGCGCUUCACCAUUCGCUUAGGAGAUAGUUAAUGAGCCUAUGGGAAGGGUGGAAUUGUCUGGUCAUGUCAGGUAUAAUGGAAGCACGGAUCCUAUAGAGCACCUCAAUUCAUACGAAGGACAAAUACCCCUAGGGGUCUACGAUGAUGUGUCAUGGUGCAAAUAUUUUUGCAUUGAUAAUGAAUGGCCUAGUUUGGCUCAAACCUAGUUUUAAUGUUUGCUAGAGGGCUCAAUCAUGAACUUCGAUGAGUGGACAACCUAGUUUUAAUUUUUUCUAUUUUUAAAUUGAUAAUAACUUUUAAGUGACAAUCAAAUAUUUUAUUGUAUUUAUAAACUUUUUAAUCAUAUUAUAUAGUCCAAUAAAAAGACCGUAAAAAU